GAAUGAAGAACGCAGCGAAAUGCGAUAAGUAGUGUGAAUUGCAGAAUUCAGUGAAUCAUCGAAUCUUUGAACGCACAUUGCCCCCCAUGGUAUUCCGUGGGGCAUGCCUGUUCGAGCGUCAUUUACCCCCUCAAGCUCCGCUUGGUGUUGGGCGUCUGUCCCGCUUCGCGCGCGGACUCGCCCCAAAGGUAUUGGCAGCGGUCGUGCCAGCUUCUCGCGCAGCACAUUGCGCUUCUCGAGGCACCGGUGGGCCCGCGUCCAUCAAGCUCACCCCCCCAGUUUGACCUCGGAUCAGGUAGGGAUACCCGCUGAACUUAAGCAUAUCAAUAAGCGGAGGA
rnacentral:misc_RNA from 1 species